GAUCAUGGCUCGAAGGACGAACGCUGGCGGCGUGCUUAACACAUGCAAGUCGAGCGAUGAAGCUUCUUCGGAAGUGGAUUAGCGGCGGACGGGUGAGUAACACGUGGGUAACCUGCCUCAUAGAGGGGAAUAGCCUUCCGAAAGGAAGAUUAAUACCGCAUAAGAUUGUAAUAUCGCAUGAUAUAGCAAUUAAAGGAGUAAUCCGCUAUGAGAUGGACCCGCGUCGCAUUAGCUAGUUGGUGAGGUAACGGCUCACCAAGGCGACGAUGCGUAGCCGACCUGAGAGGGUGAUCGGCCACAUUGGGACUGAGACACGGCCCAGACUCCUACGGGAGGCAGCAGUGGGGAAUAUUGCACAAUGGGGGAAACCCUGAUGCAAGCAACGCCGCGUGAGUGAUGACGGUCUUCGGAUUGUAAAGCUCUGUCUUCAGGGACGAUAAUGACGGUACCUGAGGAGGAAGCCACGGCUAACUACGUGCCAGCCGCCGC
rnacentral:rRNA from 1 species